rnacentral:tRNA from 1 species
GGGGUUAUAGCUCAGCUGGGAGAGCGCUUGCAUGGCAUGCAAGAGGUCCGCGGUUCGAACCCGCGUAGCUCCACCA